GCUCGACUCGGGCUUCAACAUGAGCGCGCGCCAAUUUUUGAUGGAUUAUGUCGUUUUGAUGGGUAAGAGCACCUGAUGCUCCUUAGGGGGAUGCGACUCGGAUACACGAGCCUGAAGAUGGG
ensembl:ncRNA C30C11.9 ncRNA